rnacentral:rRNA from 1 species
CCUACGGGUGGCAGCAGUGGGGAAUAUUGCACAAUGGAGGGAACUCUGAUGCAGCAACGCCGCGUGAAGGAAGAAGGUCUUCGGAUCGUAAACUUCUGUCCAAAAGGAAGAAGGAAGUGACGGUACUUUUGGAGGAAGCCCCGGCUAACUACGUGCCAGCAGCCGCGGUAAUACGUAGGGGGCAAGCGUUAUCCGGAAUUAUUGGGCGUAAAGAGUGCGUAGGUGGUCACUUAAGCGCAGGGUUUAAGGCAAUGGCUCAACCAUUGUAUGCCCUGCGAACUGGGGGACUUGAGUGCAGGAGAGGAAAGUGGAAUUCCUAGUGUAGCGGUGAAAUGCGUAGAUAUUAGGAGGAACACCGGUGGCGAAGGCGACUUUCUGGACUGAAACUGACACUGAGGCACGAAAGCGUGGGGAGCAAACAGGAUUAGAUACCCCAGUAGUC